rnacentral:lncRNA from 1 species
GUGAGCUGACGAGUGAUGGAGGCUUGGGCUGAGCCAACCAGAAUUCGUGAUUCCUUUGCCUCCCAGGGCCGGUGGUGUGCAGACAGGGCCGGGGCUGGUGGGGUUUGGGAGGGGUCAGAGAUUGAGGCGCUGGUCGCUGUGCCCCGUUCUGGCCUGGAGCAAGAUGUAUUGCAGGCGGGAGUGAUGAAUUCCGCUUUUAAGGUCCCCAGAAGUUGAGAAGCUCUGGAUUGGAGUGCAUCUGAUAGAAGUUGUCACAAAAAAAAUAGUUCUUUCUCCUGUGGAGCACAACAGUCUGAUGCCGGAAGAAAACGAAGAAGUAGAUAAGUCAAAAUAAACAGGUAAAAGAAUAUUUACAAGUAUUUUACUUAACCCCAUCUAUUGAAAAUAUUAUCAUUUAAGUAUAUAAGCAGAAUAAAAAUUAUUAAUGAGAUGUUUUACUUGUUUUCAUAGGAAGCCUUUGAAAUCUGGUGUGUAUUUUACACUUGGAGCAUUCAGACAUUUCAAAUGAUCAAUAACCAUGGGGCUAGUGGCUGCCAUAAUGACCAGAGCAGUGCUAGGUGAUAGAUGAUGGUGGAUUGCUCAGGGGAGCAAUGGAGAGAUUUGAGGUGUUGUUUUGUAGGUAAUGCUGACAGGUCUAGAUGAAGGUUUGGCUGAAAGGGUGAUGGAACGGAAGAGGAAUCAAGGAAAACUUUGAGACUUUUGACUUGAGCACACUGGUCUGUUUGUGGUCCAUGUACUUGGGUCAAAUUUUCAAAAUGACUUUGCUUUAGAUUCUCCAGACUUUUACUUGCCUGAUUUCUUCCCAUUUCUCAGGUUUCUCUUCAAAUGUCACCUCUUUGGGUAGACCUUCCGUAACUACACAAUGUAGAGUAGCCCCCACCCCAAGAAUGCUCUGUUGCAUUACUGUUUUAUUUUUUAUACACUCGUCACUACCUGAAAUUAUUGUUUGAUUAUUUGUUUAUUGUCUGUUUACCCCACUAGAAUGUAAGCUCUUGGUCUUUCGUGUUCAUUGUCAUACUUGGUACCUAGAUCAAUGCCUAGUACAAAACAAAUGCUGAAUAUGUAUCUCUUGAAUGACUGAAAGGAAUUUAGAUAAACAAAUUAUAACCUUUACCACAAACUAUUUAUAAAGAUCAAAAUAGAGUAUCAGAAAUUCCAAAGGUCGAAAGAGAAUAAAGAAGAUACCUGUGUUGCAGAAAAAGCAAAUUCUUACAACUUGCAUCAUGCUGUUUCGUCCUAAAAUUAGCAUUAAAGGAAUAAUUCUAGACCACCUACUAUGUGCAAGGCACCUUGCAAAGAAUAAAAGGUGACUUCUUCCUCAUCAUUUGUAUAUGUAAACCAGCCAAAAUGUUAAAGAUUAGCCUUUGCUUUGAAAAACUGGCUUACAAAAGUGCAGGUACAGAAUUAUUUAGGAUACAUUUCCAUGUCUGGUCUAUUCUCUAACGUCUUUUUUUCUGGUUUAUGUUUAGGUAAUGAGUUUCACAGUUCUUACCACACUUCCGUGGUUAACGUGAUGACUUUGAGUUAGAGCAUAAUUUUCCAAAAUAACUUUUUCCCAUUUGAAGUAAGGGCAGCUGCUAGUUUCCUACCAGGGGUUACAAUAUUGUAUCUUUUUACGCAGUGGGGGAAAUAUUCUUUGUCAGAGAUUAAUCAGUUCCUAUAUAGGUGUGGGUGCUGGAGAUAGAAUUUACCACUCACUGUCUGUGACCCCAAUGUAAUCCUGAACAGACUUCUGUCUUAACAUCAAUAGCACACUAUUGCACUGUGUUCUCUACUGACUGAGGACAGGGACAGUGUUUUGUUCAUUUGGAUCUUAGCAGCAUUCAGCACAUUGCAUAAAACAUUUUGGCAACUCAUAAAUCGUAUGCAAAUGAACGAUUGAAUGGACUAUAACUUUGCUUCUAAAAAUCCUGUUUCUAACACACAGAAAACAUGAAAACAAGGGAAAAGAAUGGGGAUUUUCUCAACGUCAGUGAGAGAGAGAUAUAAAUAUUUCUCUAUGGGUGGCCUUAUCCCAAAAGAAACUUCCAGCUUAAAAAGAGUAGGUCUAUAAUAGGCAAGGUCAGUGUCAAUCUGUGGGCUUGAACUUUGGAAGAGCCAGGAAGGAUUUGAAAAAUCACCCCUUCUAUCAACUGACUGCUGCCUGAAAUUUUACACUUAGGGUUUUAGUCUUUUGAUGUAAAAGCUUUUUUUCCAAUUACAGUGUGAGUGGGAGAUAUGCAGUUAAGUUGCAUCAUGGUCCUAGCAACUUUGAGGCAUUCAGCUAGGCUUACCUGGGAGGAAAAGAAAACAAGGAAAAUAAAAUAGAAGAAAAUACGUUAAGCCGGGGCAUAAAUCAUGGCAUGAGUGUGUGCUUAGAGUGAGCAUGAGGAGGCUAUGGGGAUCCAUUGUAUUUUGUAUAUUUUUUUAAUGAUAAGGUUAAUCUCUUCCUAUGGUAUAACAUAAACAAUACCAUCCUUCACAAUUACUAGAUUCUUAAAUUGAUUCAACUACUCUCUUAUUUUCAAGUGAUUAUAAGACUUUUUCAAACUUUGGAGCUGCAUCCCUCAUCUGAUUCCAUCAAUUUCUCUUCUGCUUCUUGUCUUAUUGUGUUCAACCAUGGUUUGGGGCACAUUGGGGAAAACAGAGCAGUCACAGUGGAAGGCUCAUCCAUUGUUCCUCUCAGCAGCCAGCCAGUUAUUUUGUCAAGGAAAGUUAUUCAUCCUACUCUCCAGGGUUAUCUCCUCAAAACUCAGCUUCCUGCUUUUACAGAACAGUAUAUCCUCUUUUAUUAUUAUCCUAAUUAAUGCUUCUCACACAGCUUCACAAAAUAUUAGCACUUAAUAAAUAAUUAACCACAUUCAAAUGGCUGCACUAGUUGAAAAAGAGAAAUCUUGUUUACCUAGUCAAAGUGCUACCUCUGUGCGAUAGUCCUGAUGACAAAAUUGAUUCCAGUCUAUAUUUGAAUGAGAGAAGCCAAGGGAGACAUUUCAGGGAUACGAAGCCUUCUUAUUUUCCUUGUUGUGCCAGGUAGUUGAACAUUGUUAGACUAUCCCAUAAUGCAAGUUGCCUUGACUCCAC